UUCACAGAGGAUAAUGCGGGGACGACGGAAGCAUUACAUAAGGCCACGGAAAUAAAACGUCUAUCGUCUUAUGAUAAGGUUUCUAUAUCGCAAAGUCGGGGAGAAAAAAAAAACCCCAAAGAGAAUAAGAGAGCGAAAGAGUUAGGGAACCGAAUAACGUGAAUCCCCUUUAGUUCUCAUACGUCGUGACCCUUAAAAUGUCAUCAGAAAUAGGAAAUGUUCAAGGGAGGUAAUCCUCAAAGCCAGUGUAUAAAUGCGACACACAGACAAGCGGAAGUGGAGCGUGGUUAUCUCCCCUCAGUGUUUACACUCCCCUUCAGUUAUUUGGGUUAUGGAAUCGUUGGCUUAACUCUCUCAUGUUGAUUGUCCAAAGUCUUUCAUCAGAGACGUUAAGGUUCCCUCUUUUUUUUUUUUAAAAACCUUGAAAGGAAAACACACAGUUAUGGUCCCAUGGUCUGCAGUUGGUGCCAUGUGAUGGUGUGAUGUGCCAUAGCUGGAGCAAUCGUGCAACCUUGCAGUCUUGGAUGGCCACUGUAAUAAUAUCUUGCUCCUCCAUACGACCAAAGUGGCACUAAGUCACAAACAGACAUCUUCUACUCCAUACCGAUCCUGAUUCGGCCAGCAUCCGCUCCACUGGGACUACAGGAAGCAGAACCAUAGAUGUAUAUAUUUACCAUUAUCGUGGAAAUGUAAAUAAUUCUAAUAAACGACAACAAAAUCACAGAAACAGACAAGAAAAAAAAAAUACAAUACCAGAACAUUAUUGAUCAACUCUAUUUUUGAUAAUUUUGUCAAUAUUGGACUAAUUAACACUAACGGGUUGAUUUGAUUUUCAAUUAAUUUUUUUUUUUUUACUUCACCAAUUUCUCUUUAUAAUUGUUUUUUUCUUUCUUUCUUCUAUAUUGCAUUCUUUGUUACAAAACCUAAAUUCUUUUCCUCUUCUGCUAUUUCAAACUGUUUCUUGAAAGACGCUUUCUUGUCAUAUGCAUGCACACACAUACACACACACACAAUAUAUAUAUACUGACGUAUUUACACAUAUUCUUCGGGUCUGUUAAGAAACCUGAAGGGAGUUAAACGUUUGUGUUUGUUUCAGGGAAAAUAUUUUGCAUUGGAAUUUUAAGUGAAAAAGUUAAAAAAAAACCCAGAAAAACAAAGAACAAGAAAACGCGUUUAAUUCAGUGG